CCGGCACGGGUGAGUAACACGUAUCCAACCUGCCGUCUACUCUUGGACAGCCUUCUGAAAGGAAGAUUAAUCCAAGAUGGCAUCAUGAGUCCACAUGUUCACAUGAUUAAAGGUAUUCCGGUAGACGAUGGGGAUGCGUUCCAUUAGAUAGUAGGCGGGGUAACGGCCCACCUAGUCUUCGAUGGAUAGGGGUUCUGAGAGGAAGGUCCCCCACAUUGGAACUGAGACACGGUCCAA
rnacentral:rRNA from 1 species